rnacentral:rRNA from 1 species
UACGGUUACCUUGUUACGACUUCGUCCCAGUCAUGAAUCAUACCGUGGCAAACGUCUCCCUUGCGGUUAGACUAUCCGCUUCUGGUACCAUCCACUUCCAUGACGUGACGGGCGGUGUGUACAAGGCCCGGGAACGUAUUCACCGCGACAUUGCUGAUUCGCGAUUACUAGCGAUUCCGACUUCAUGGAGUCGAGUUGCAGACUCCAAUCCGGACUACGAGACGCUUUCUGAGAUUAGCUCCCCCUCGCGGGUUGGCAACCCUCUGUACGUCCCAUUGUAGCACGUGUGUAGCCCUACCCAUAAGGGCCAUGAUGACUUGACGUCGUCCCCGCCUUCCUCCGGUUCAUCACCGGCGGUCUCCUUAGAGUCCCCAACUUUACUUGCUGGUAACUAAGGACAAGGAUUGCGCUCGUUACGGGACUUAACCCAACAUCUCACAACACGAGCUGACGACAGCCAUGCAGCACCUGUCUCUGCGUUCCUUGCGGCACUCCCAAAUCUCUUCGGGAUUCGCAGGAUGUCAAGGGUAGGUAAGGUUCUUCGCGUUGCAUCGAAUUAAACCACAUGCUCCACCGCUUGUGCGGGCCCCCGUCAAUUCCUUUGAGUUUCAACCUUGCGGUUGUACUUCCCAGGCGGUGAACUUAUCGCGUUAGCUUCGAUACUGAUGGGUUCCCCCACCAACAUCUAGUUCACAUCGU